rnacentral:rRNA from 1 species
UGGGGAAUUGUUCACAAUGGGCGCAAGCCUGAUGACGCAACGCCGCGUGGAGGAUGAAGGUCUUCGGAUUGUAAACUCCUGUUGACCGGGAAGAAUGGGUCUCGCGCGAAUAGCGCGAGGCAAUGACGGUACCGGUUGAGGAAGCCACGGCUAACUCUGUGCCAGCAGCCGCGGUAAUACAGAGGUGGCAAGCGUUGUUCGGAAUUACUGGGCGUAAAGGGCGCGUAGGCGGCCUUCUUAGUCGGACGUGAAAUCCCCAGGCUCAACUUGGGAACUGCGUCCGAUACUGGAGGGCUUGAGUGCGGGAGAGGGAUGUGGAAUUCCAGGUGUAGCGGUGAAAUGCGUAGAUAUCUGGAGGAACACCGGUGGCGAAGGCGGCAUCCUGGACCGACACUGACGCUGAGGCGCGAAAGCUAGGGGAGCAAACGGGAUUAGAUACCCCGGUAGUCCUAGCCCUAAACGAUGAGUGCUUGGUGUGGCGGGUAUCGAUCCCUGCCGUGCCGAAGCUAACGCAUUAAGCACUCCGCCUGGGGAGUACGGUCGCAAGGCUGC